GCUCCCAUGGCGUAGUGGUCACUGCGCUCGCCUUGCACGCGGGAGACCCGGGUUCGAUUCUUGGCGGGGUCA
rfam:Asian citrus Psyllid, Diaphorina citri - Florida Strain, whole genome shotgun sequence.